rnacentral:rRNA from 1 species
AGCGAACGCUGGCGGCAGGCCUAACACAUGCAAGUCGAACGAACCUUUCGGGGUUAGUGGCGGACGGGUGAGUAACACGUGGGAACGUGCCUUUAGGUUCGGAAUAACUCAGGGAAACUUGUGCUAAUACCGAAUGUGCCCUUCGGGGGAAAGAUUAAUCGCCUUUAGAGCGGCCCGCGUCUGAUUAGCUAGUUGGUUGAGGUAAUGGCUCACCAAGGCGACGAUCAGUAGCUGGUCUGAGAGGAUGAUCCGCCACAUUGGGACUGAGACACGGCCCAAACUCCUACGGGAGGCAGCAGUGGGGAAUCUUGCGCAAUGGGCGAAAGCCUGACGCAGCCAUGCCGCGUGAAUGAUGAAGGUCUUAGGAUUGUAAAAUUCUUUCACCGGGGACGAUAAUGACGGUACCCGGAGAAGAAGCCCCGGCUAACUUCGUG